UGUAAGCGUAUACCAAAGUUGUUGCAGUUAAAACGCUCGUAGUCGGAAUUUGGCAGUUCCGGAUGUGUGCACGUCGUGUGCGCACUUCGCGGGGAUUGCUUUUGUGGUCUUGCGUAGGAUGAGGCACUUUUAUUAGUGAACGUCCUCACGCAACCACUUUUUACUGUGAGAAAAUCAGAGUGCUCAAAGCAGGCAUCUGCCGUGAAUGUAUUAGCAUGGAAUAAUAGAAUAGGACUUGGUUCUAUUUUGUUGGUUUGCUGGGACUGAGUAAUGAUUAAGAGGGACAGUUGGGGGCAUUUGUAUUUCGGUGCUAGAGGUGAAAUUCUUAGAUUACCGAAAGACAAACUGCUGCGAAAGCGUCUGCCAAGGAUGUUUUCAUUGA
rnacentral:rRNA from 1 species